rnacentral:rRNA from 1 species
AAUGGGUCAGCGACUUAUAUUCUGUAGCAAGGUUAACCGAAUAGGGGAGCCGAAGGGAAACCGAGUCUUAACUGGGCGUUAAGUUGCAGGGUAUAGACCCGAAACCCGGUGAUCUAGCCAUGGGCAGGUUGAAGGUUGGGUAACACUAACUGGAGGACCGAACCGACUAAUGUUGAAAAAUUAGCGGAUGACUUGUGGCUGGGGGUGAAAGGCCAAUCAAACCGGGAGAUAGCUGGUUCUCCCCGAAAGCUAUUUAGGUAGCGCCUCGUGAAUUCAUCUCCGGGGGUAGAGCACUGUUUCGGCAAGGGGGUCAUCCCGACUUACCAACCCGAUGCAAACUGCGAAUACCGGAGAAUGUUAUCACGGGAGACACACGGCGGGUGCUAACGUCCGUCGUGAAGA